CUACGGGGCGCUCCAGUGAGGAAUAUUGCACAAUGGAGGAAACUCUGAUGCAGCAACGCCGCGUGGAGGAUGACGCAUUUCGGUGUGUAAACUCCUUUUAUAUGUCAAGAAAAUGACGGUAGCAUAUUAAUAAGCACCGGCUAACUCCGUGCCAGCAGCCGCGGUAAUACGGAGGGUGCAAGCGUUACUCGGAAUCACUGGGCGUAAAGGACGCGUAGGCGGGAUAUCAAGUCAGGUGUGAAAUCCUACAGCUUAACUGUAGAACUGCACUUGAAACUGGUAACCUAGAGUAUGGGAGGGGGAGAUGGAAUUAGUGGUGUAGGGGUAAAAUCCGUAGAUAUCACUAGGAAUACCUAAAGCGAAGGCGAUCUCCUGGAACAUAACUGACGCUAAGGCGUGAAAGCGUGGGGAGCAAACAGGAUUAGAUACCCUAGUAGUC
rnacentral:rRNA from 1 species